rnacentral:rRNA from 1 species
GAUGAACGCUGGCGGCGUGCCUAAUACAUGCAAGUCGAGCGAACGGACGAGAAGCUUGCUUCUCUGAUGUUAGCGGCGGACGGGUGAGUAACACGUGGAUAACCUACCUAUAAGACUGGGAUAACUUCGGGAAACCGGAGCUAAUACCGGAUAAUAUUUUGAACCGCAUGGUUCAAAAGUGAAAGACGGUCUUGCUGUCACUUAUAGCUGGAUCCGCGCUGCAUUAGCUAGUUGGUAAGGUAACGGCUUACCAAGGCAACGAUGCAUAGCCGACCUGAGAGGGUGAUCGGCCACAUUGGAACUGAGACACGGUCCAGACUCCUACGGGAGGCAGCAGUAGGGAAUCGUCCGCAAUGGGCGAAAGCCUGACGGAGCAACGCCGCGUGAGUGAUGAAGGUCUUCGGAUCGUAAAACUCUGUUAUUAGGGAAGAACAGAUGUGUAAGUAACUGUGCACAUCUUGACGGUACCUAAUCAGAAAGCCACGGCUAACUACGUG